rnacentral:rRNA from 1 species
GGGUGAGUAACACGUGGAUAACCUACCUAUAAGACUGGGAUAACUUCAGGAAACCGGAGCUAAUACCGGAUAAUAUUUUGAACCGCAUGGUUCAAAAGUGAAAGACGGUCUUGCUGUCACUUAUAGAUGGAUCCGCGCUGCAUUAGCUAGUUGGUAAGGUAACGGCUUACCAAGGUAACGAUGCAUAGCCGACCUGAGAGGGUGAUCGGCCACACUGGAACUGAGACACGGUCCAG